GCAGAUGUUCACGUGAUCGACCGCCUGCCCGGACGCUGUGACAUUUCCAGAAAUGACACGUGAUGUCCGGAGACUUUAAUCUGCUUCACUACUGCAGUCAUUCCUCAAGCAGGACGGAUGAAACCAGCUACAAACGUUAUCAUAGCACAGCUGAACUUCAACGGAAAGUGAAGGUGAAUGAUCCGUGGAAAUAUUCGAUCUCUUUUCAACGUUAGCAGGGCAGAGGAUCUUCCGCUCACGUCGCUUUCGAGUUUGGCUCUGCUCCUGCAGCUCUUGGCAAUAAACAGGAUCAUCCAGGUGCCAAUGACCAGUGACAGAUCUUCUCAUUCGCCAUUGGAGGACAUCAACUGCCCCACAAAGCCCCUGCUCGCCUCUGUUAUUCUUCCUCUCAUUAUGUGCUCAUUCUGUUGGGCGAGGAGCAGG
ensembl:lncRNA